CUUGUGGAUGAUCCAAGAAGUGGUUCUUGAGAUGGAAUCCACUCCUGGUGAAGAUGCUGUUGA
rnacentral:pre_miRNA from 1 species